rnacentral:lncRNA from 1 species
ACAUAGGGGGUGGCUGGGGGAGGCACAACUCAGAAAGUGACAGCGACAAUAUUAGGAGUGAAAAAGAUCAAUUAAGCCCAUCGAGCUGAUUUGUGAAGCUGAUUAAAUUAGGAGCCUCCCUGGGGGCAGAGGCUCUCUCAGGUUGAUAGACCCAGCUGCUGGCUGCUGUAGGGUCCUUGCCAGCCCCCAGGGUGCAAUGGGGGCCACUUUGUCCUGCUCUGUCCACGGAGAGGGGAUGAGGGGAAGCUCCCUUUAGAAAGCCCUGGCAGGGCCAAGCUCAGCACCCAGCCCAUGGUCCCCUGUGCUUUCUUAUAGAAUCCCCUGCAAUCCUGGGGCACUGAGUAGAUUGGCCUGACUUUAAAAUAAGAUCCUGGGCCUCAGAGAGCUUAGGUGGCCUAUGCGGGGCAACCCAGCUGGUAGGCACAGGUAAGUGCUGGACCUGGGACUGGAAACCAGGUCCUUCUGUUCCCUAUGUGUUCUGUCCUCUCCUUGCCCUGUCCCCAUAUCCGGCUUCAACAUCUCGGUCUAUUACUCUAUUUUUCCAGUCUCAAGGCUCCUGUCCCCACUGCCCACCCCCUCCCCCUUUGACUGGCUCUAAUCAGAUUAGCUCUCCAGUAACCCGAUCCCUCUGCCCUGGUCUCAGGAUUCCCUUUCAUGGACUGUCUCCAGGGCAGCUGUGGCCAGAAUAUUCUUCCAGUACUUCAGAAUCCAUCCGCUUCUCCUGGCUUCUGGGUGGGGGCUGGGGAGAGGGAUUUGGACAAAGACUCUAGUGUGUGUAGGGGCAAUGAACCCUGGGGAGGUUACAGAAAUGAGGUCGGCUUCUCCAGAGUGCACGAGCUAGGGAAGGGAGCGCCUUGAAAGCCAGGCUGCAGAAUUUGGCCAUCCUCAAACACCACCUUUAAUGGCAAAGGAGGGAUGGGAAAACUCCUGAAGACCAGGUAGCCAUGGAGUGCUACAUUUCUGGAUGGAAAGGGGACCACACAGGAUUCACAACUGGGCUCCUCUUGCUGUGUUGGAGGGAGAUGUUUCACCUGAGCACCAUGUUUCACAUGGCAGUGGGGCAAGGCACUGAGGCUGUGUGGCAUGGCACCACAGGGUGGCCACUGGUCCCUGAGUCGGCAGACCUGGCUCUCUUUUCCCUGCCAUGCUGACUUCAUGUUUAUGGCUAAGAAGCCUCUCCCAGGGAGCAGCUGAGCUUCAGGGGCAUUCCUGGAGCGUCCAGGAGAGCAAUAUGGCCCUUUGCUGGUGGAGAACCUGAGACCCUCAAGGAGAAAGUGAAGAAAAUUCUCUCUGCAUACAGACCCCUUCCCAUUUUCCCAUUCUGGGUUGACUAUCCUCCCUCAUAGAUGUGCUCAUGAGUCUUGGAAAUUCUCUUGACUCAUUGCCAUUUAAAAUAUCUGUGUUGCUUCUGAUGAUAGAUGGUUGAUUUAUAAAAUGGUUUGGCUCUCUUUAUGAUAGAAUAUUAUACAGGCAUCAAAAACAAUAAUGUAGGAGACAAGGAUAUGAGGAGAUGUUCAAGCUGUAUUCUGUGAAAAGAAAAAAAGAUUGCAGAAUACAGCAUAUGUUCCCAUUUUUUUUUUUUUUUUUUUUUUACAAAAAUGUGGACCUAGGUACAUAAUGUGUGCUAUGCAUAGGAAAAAGCCUGGAGAACUUGCACGAAAUGGUCACACUGUUUUUCAGUGAUGGUAAGAUAAAGGGUAAUUUUAAAAAUUCCUAUUCUUUUCCAGAUUGUUUCUAACACUGCGCAUGCCUUUCGGAGACAAAUUUUAAAAAUAAACAUUAUUUUUAAAAGGAAACAAACAAACAAAACCAAACAGAAGGGAGGCUGGGUUUCUUGGGGAUUUCGGGAGUGCCUGUGUCUCCACGACCUGGGCAGUGCUCUUCUGAGAGGACUGAGGGCUGGGGAGGCAGAGAGAGCAACGACAGGCUACCAGCAUUGAGAAAGAAGGCCUCAAGGCCACAUUGAGAAGGACACUACGCUCUGGAUCACAGGCUGAGCCCUGCAUUCUUGACAUUGGAGCCCUUCGGGAGUGCCAGAACGAGCAGUCCCUCUCCUGGAGGAGCCUGCCUUCCCACCACGGAGGCUAACACCACAACAGCCACAGUGAGCCACCCCUUCUGCCCAUCUUCUUACGUGUCAAGCACUGUGUUCAGUGCCUUCACAGGUAACUUCGAUAAGUCACGAUGGGCAUGCUGCGACUAAGUUGGUACUGAUAUUCUAUUGGUUUUAAAUGGGGAAACUGAGGCUCAGGAAGGUUCAGUAUUUUGCUGGAGGUCACACAGCCAGGCAAGGGCAGAGCCAAGAUUUCAGUUUCAAUCUGUCUGGCUUGGAAGACUUCCUUAUCUUGUGGCAGCAUCUCCAGAGAUCAUGGGUCAGCCUCUUCUUGCCAGAGGCGUGUGUGUGUGCACAGACACAUACACGCUGAGUGACAGAGGGACAAAAACAGUGAGCACCCACCCAGGCACUGUGCUCGAAAUUCUUCCUGCAAACCUGCAAGGCCCCCAAAGGCUCUGCGCAGACCAGCACUGUCUCCUCCUUCAUCCACAGAGAGGAUGAAAGAACAUGGCAAGAGGAAGACUCACAGAACCCCACAGAGAAGCUUUGAGAAUUGGGCUGUCUGGCUCUCCCAUCACCCAUUUGGCCACCAGCUUUGGUCCCAGCUGCUGUGCCCUCGGGGGAUGCAUUAUGGCCCUGAAAGGGGCCCUUGUCCCUUUUUGGGGUGUCAUCCUGGCUGGGUGGUAUGGAUUUCUGCUGUAAACAUGGCCCAUCUGGGAGAAGCCCAGGUGCCACGUUUUGAACAGCUCUGAAACUUAAAGCUCAGAAGGCUUUGAAAUGCAAAUAUUUUGAAGGAAACAUAAGGUUCCUUGAAUUUCUACGUGAAUUUUAGGAUCAGCUUGUCCAUUUCUGCAAAGAAGCCAGCUGAGCUUUUGAUUGGAAUUGCAUUGAAUCUGUAGAUCAAUUUGGAGAGCAUUUGCAUCUUAACAGUAUUAAGUCUUCUCAUCCAUGAACAUAUUAUAUUUUUCCAUGUAUUUAGAUCUUUAAUUGCCUUCAACAAUGUUUUGUAGUUUUUAGAAUAUAAAUCUUGCACUUCUUUUGUUAAAUGUAUUCCAAAGUAUUUC